rnacentral:sRNA from 1 species
UACAACGAAAUAGUAGGAUGACAGCGAAAAAUGCUGAAUUUCAUUCGAAGGUAGUAUUACUCCGUAGGGAGUAUGAAUUAUUGUCCGGUGUCAAACAGGCACAAAAAAAGCGCCAUCAGGCGCUUUUUUA